rnacentral:lncRNA from 1 species
CGGCUGCCAUCUUAGUGUCCAGCCAGUGUAGAUGUGCGGGUGUGGGGAGGAGACAGAUUGGGGGGGUCUUCCCCUUUCAGACGCCCUGUUGGCCCUGCCCUGCCUCUCCACACCUCGUCCCAAGUGCAGCCAGGGAACUGUGCACUCGAAAACCCCCACCUCCCCAGAGUUCCCCGCUCCUUGCCGACAACCGUGUCUCAGCGGGGGCACAGGUGGGGUGAAACAGCUGAGCGCCACCGCCAAGUCCUUCAGGAGGAGUUUCUCUUCUGCUUGGUCAACUCCCGGGACUCUGAUGGGGCACUUUAUGGGGUGGCAUCACAGGGCAAGAGGAGGCCCCCUGUGUGGGUCUGUUCUAUGAAAUUUCUCAAUUUCCUGUCUUACACUAAUAAAGUGGCUGGUGACCCAAGGCCUGAUGCA